rnacentral:rRNA from 1 species
UUGUUAUUCCCAAAAGGAGGGUCAAAAUGGGUAGAAUCGAUAUCAGUCUCGAUUUUGAUACAUAUAAGGUGUCCUACGGAUAAUGCAAAUUGAAGCUAUUUGAUGUCUGACUCAGGCCUAUAUGACCGAUCGAUCGAAAUACUCCAAGACUCCACCUUUGUCAUAUAUUCCAUAUAUCACAACACAACCUUCCGGGGAAUUAUUCCUAGUCAGGAGGCGCGGUGCGCGGGCAAAAUCACACUUGACAUGGUAUUCGGAUCACCGGAGAACAAUCGGUCCAAAGAAAUACCCUUCUCGGUGGCCCCUUUCAGCAGCGGAUAUCAUGCCCUGUUGGGGCGGGAUGCUUUUACACGCUUCCAAGCUAUACCUCACUACGAAUAUAUGAAGCUCAAAAUGCCCGGACCAAAUGGUAUAAUCACUCUCGACAGUGAUCCGGACAUAGCGCUCCGCGCUGAAAACAAAACCGCAUCCUUAGCCCUGGAGGCGCUUUCUGAAGCCCUCGCGGCCGAAGAAUUAACCGCACUAUGCUCCACAGUGGACAGGGACGACGUGAUCCUCAACAAACGCCCCAAAUCCACCUCUUUCAAACCGGCAGAGGAAAUAGUCAAAUUCCAGGUCCACCCAACAGACCCCAAGAAGACAACAUCCAUAGGAGCUCAACUGAACCCAACAGUUGACGCCACACUAUGA